GGGGAAUAUUGGACAAUGGGCGCAAGCCUGAUCCAGCCAUGCCGCGUGGGUGAAGAAGGCCUUCGGGUUGUAAAGCCCUUUUGUUGGGAAAGAAAAGCAGCCGGCCAAUACCCGGUUGUUCUGACGGUACCCAAAGAAUAAGCACCGGCUAACUUCGUGCCAGCAGCCGCGGUAAUACGAAGGGUGCAAGCGUUACUCGGAAUUACUGGGCGUAAAGCGUGCGUAGGUGGUGGUUUAAGUCCGUUGUGAAAGCCCUGGGCUCAACCUGGGAACUGCAGUGGAUACUGGAUCACUAGAGUGUGGCAGAGGGUAGUGGAAUUCCCGGUGUAGCAGUGAAAUGCGUAGAGAUCGGGAGGAACACCGAUGGCGAAGGCAGGUCACUGGGCCGCAACUGACGCUGAGGAGCGAAAGCAUGGGGAGCGAACA
rnacentral:rRNA from 1 species